rnacentral:rRNA from 1 species
GAACGGGUGAGUAAUGCGUGACCGACCUGCCCCAUGCACCGGAAUAGCUCCUGGAAACGGGUGGUAAUGCCGGAUGCUCCAUCACACCGCAUGGUGUGUUGGGAAAGCCUUUGCGGCAUGGGAUGGGGUCGCGUCCUAUCAGCUUGAUGGCGGGGUAACGGCCCACCAUGGCUUCGACGGGUAGCCGGCCUGAGAGGGCGACCGGCCACAUUGGGACUGAGAUACGGCCCAGACUCCUACGGGAGGCAGCAGUGGGGAAUAUUGCACAAUGGGCGCAAGCCUGAUGCAGCGACGCCGCGUGAGGGAUGGAGGCCUUCGGGUUGUAAACCUCUUUUGUUAGGGAGCAAGGCAUUUUGUGUUGAGUGUACCUUUCGAAUAAGCACCGGCUAACUACGU